rnacentral:lncRNA from 1 species
GCCCAAACCCUACACAACAAUGACGUUUCUUCUUCCUAAGCUACCGGACGCACAUCGCUACUUCAUCAGUUUCAUCCAGAUUUGUCUUUGAGAGUUCGUAUAGAAGUUCAGAUGCUUAUCGUUGAAUGACAAUUACUCCGUCUCCGUCAUGAUGGCGACUAAAACCUUAUUUGCUGAUGAAUUCGUCGAAACUCAACGGUAUGAUGUAUGAUUAACCUUACGGUUUACCAAUUUUUUUUACCAUUUCUUCACGUAGAAUGCAAAAAAAAAAAAAAAAAAAAACAAACAAACAAACGAAUUUGCAGAGUAAUUGGUGAGUGUUUACAGUAGGUAAUGGUGAGUGUAUAGACACCCUUUUUUGUCAAUUGGUUGAAAAUUGUCUUAGAUUUGUAUGCAUUAUGAUUUCUCAUUUGACCCGUUAAGUCGUUUACCCAACGCAACAUGUUAGUUUAUAUUCCAUCUACAGACGCGAAAAGAAGCCCUAGAAGCUAAGACCUCAUGGUUUUCUGGUGACGAGCUCAGACGGGUCCAGAGGCAGAGCAACCAUGGUACUCGGGCCUGAUGACGACAUGUUGAACGAAUCCGACGUAGAGCACCAGAUCCAAAAUUUCCAAAGGGUUACGGAGUUUAGGAUUUCUUCACAAAGGGUGACAUAUCGUCUCUAAUCAUAUGAACAGAUGUAGCAAAAAUCUAGUCUUGUUGUAUUUAUGAAUACUAGUUCUUGUUAUAUUUAUUAAUAGUUAUUCUGUGAAUCAUGGGGACAAAGUAGAUUUUUAAAAUUGUUGCUGAAGACCUUGUAGUUUAUUUGGCAAAUGAAUAAUUUACACUGGUUUUU